UCGCACAUCAGGCUGAACGACU
rnacentral:miRNA from 1 species